UACGAAGGGGGCUAGCGUUGCUCGGAAUGACUGGGCGUAAAGGGCGCGUAGGCGGCUUGCACCGUCAGAUGUGAAAUUCCUGGGCUUAACCUGGGGGCUGCAUUUGAUACGUGUGGGCUUGAGUGCGGAAGAGGGUCGUGGAAUUCCCAGUGUAGAGGUGAAAUUCGUAGAUAUCGGGAGGAACACCAGUGGCGAAGGCGGCGACCUGGGCCAAUACUGACGCUGAGGUGCGAAAGCGUGGGGAGCAAACAGG
rnacentral:rRNA from 1 species